rnacentral:rRNA from 1 species
GAUGAACGCUGACAGAAUGCUUAACACAUGCAAGUCAUUGGCGAAGCUGCGCUUGCGCAGUCUAGCCAAGGCGGACGGGUGAGUAACGCGUAAGGAACUUGCCCUGCAGACAGGGAUAACAGACGGAAACGACUGAUAACACCUGGUAUUGUCAGGCUGGCGCAUGCCGGCCUGAUGAAAGGAGACGCUGCAGGAGAGCCUUGCGUCCUAUUUGCUAGUUGGUGGGGUAACGGACCACCAAGGCGAUGAUAGGUAGCCGGCCUGAGAGGGUGAACGGCCACAAGGGGACUGAGAUACGGCCCUUACUCCUACGGGAGGCAGCAGUGGGGAAUAUUGGACAAUGGGGGCAACCCUGAUCCAGCAAUUCUGUGUGCACGAAGAAGGUUUUCGGAUUGUAAAGUGCUUUCAGCAGGGAAGAAGAAAGUGACGGUACCUGCAGAAGAAGCGACGGCUAAAUACGUG